UCAUCGUGGGGUCUUCGACACAGUUCGC
rnacentral:sRNA from 1 species